rnacentral:rRNA from 1 species
GACGAACGCUGGCGGCGUGCUUAACACAUGCAAGUCGAACGGUAAGGCCCUUCGGGGUACACGAGUGGCGAACGGGUGAGUAACACGUGGGUGAUCUGCCCUGCACUUCGGGAUAAGCCUGGGAAACUGGGUCUAAUACCGGAUAGGACCACUGCCUGCAUGGGUGGUGGUGGAAAGCUUUUGCGGUGUGGGAUGGGCCCGCGGCCUAUCAGCUUGUUGGUGGGGUGAUGGCCUACCAAGGCGACGACGGGUGGCCGGCCUGAGAGGGUGACCGGCCACACUGGGACUGAGAGACGGCCCAGACUCCUACGGGGGGCAGCAGUGGGGAAUAUUGCACAAUGGGCGCAAGCCUGAUGCAGCGACGCCGCGUGAGGGAUGACGGCCUUCGGGUUGUAAACCUCUUUCAGCACCGACGAAGCGCAAGUGACGGUAGGUGCAGAAGAAGGACCGGCCAACUACGUGCCAGCCGCCGCCGUAA